UGGCUUUCAUCUGAAAGUGAGUGCUUGG
rnacentral:piRNA from 1 species